rnacentral:lncRNA from 1 species
UUUCACUCCCUGUCACGCUGAGAACAGUGUCUCCUAUCUGUCUUGCUCAAGCCUGUCCCCUGACUGCAUCAGAGAAAAAUCUUUAUCACCUGUUCUGCCCAAAGAACCUUACCAACUGCUCAAGCCUGUUGCUUAGCCUCUGUGUACUCUGUGCACCACGUGUGCUGCCAGAAGCUGAUAAAUCUCAGGUUGCAGCCAUUACUCCCCUGGGAUACCUGAGUGGAUGCAACAUUUCUGCUACGCUUUCUGAAGUAUUGAUUGGGAAAACCAGCUCAGAUAUGGUGCUGUUUCCUAGCAGCGUGCAGAUUUUCCUGUGUUCACAAAAGGAACUGGUGAAAUGUUAUCUGAUACAGAGUUGGUACAUAUGAAGGUGAGGGAAGUGCAAGGAGAGACUGCUUAAAACUGCGAGGCAGACAGCUUGUCUGGAGUGCAAAUGAUAAACCAUGCUUAUUUAAAGUUUACAGUGAGAAUACCCCAAAAGGGACAUUAAACUGUAGUAAUUAACAUCAGGAAACUCUCCCCAUGGAAGUACUUGUCAUGGUACAAUUUAACUCGCAAAUUGUAAAUACCUACACAGAAAUCUUGCCAUAGAUUCACCCAAAACUGUUGAGUGUCAUUCUCUACCCAUAGGCAUCUAGAAACAAAACAACAAACAAACAAGCAAAUAACAACAGCAACAACAAUAAUAAAAAAAAUAAUAAUAAAAACA